UUAAUUCGAUGAUACGCGAGGAACCUUACCCGGGCUCAAACGACACAGGAAUACUUUUGAAAGGAGGUAGCCAGCAAUGGUCUGUGUCGAGGUGCUGCAUGGUUGUCGUCAGCUCGUGCCGUGAGGUGUCGGCUUAAGUGCCAUAACGAGCGCAACCCCUACCGCCAGUUGCCAGCAGGUAAAGCUGGGGACUCUGGCGGGACUGCCGGCGCAAGCUGCGAGGAAGGCGGGGAUGACGUCAAAUCAGCACGGCCCUUACGUCCGGGGCGACACACGUGUUACAAUGGCAGGUACAGCGGGAAGCCACCUGGCGACAGGGCGCGGAACCCGAAAACCUGUCUCAGUUCGGAUUGGAGUCUGCAACCCGACUCCAUGAAGCUGGAUUCGCUAGUAAUCGCGCAUCAGCCACGGCGCGGUGAAUACGUUCCCGGGCCUUGUACACACCGCCCGUCAAGCCAUGGAAGCCGGGAGUGCCUGAAGUGCGUGACCGCAAGGAGCGUCCUAAGGCAAUACCGGUGACUGGGGCUAAGUCGUAACAAGGUAACCGU
rnacentral:rRNA from 1 species